UUAAGCGACUAAGCGUACACGGUGGAUGCCCUGGCAGUCAGAGGCGAUGAAGGACGUGCUAAUCUGCGAUAAGCGUCGGUAAGGUGAUAUGAACCGUUAUAACCGGCGAUUUCCGAAUGGGGAAACCCAGUGUGUUUCGACACACUAUCAUUAACUGAAUCCAUAGGUUAAUGAGGCGAACCGGGGGAACUGAAACAUCUAAGUACCCCGAGGAAAAGAAAUCAACCGAGAUUCCCCCAGUAGCGGCGAGCGAACGGGGAGCAGCCCAGAGCCUGAAUCAGUAUGUGUGUUAGUGGAAGCGUCUGGAAAGGCGCGCGAUACAGGGUGACAGCCCCGUACACAAAAAUGCACAUGCUGUGAGCUCGAUGAGUAGGGCGGGACACGUGGUAUCCUGUCUGAAUAUGGGGGGACCAUCCUCCAAGGCUAAAUACUCCUGACUGACCGAUAGUGAACCAGUACCGUGAGGGAAAGGCGAAAAGAACCCCGGCGAGGGGAGAGAAAAAGAACCUGAAACCGUGUACGUACAAGCAGUGGGAGCACGCUUAGGCGUGUGACUGCGUACCUUUUGUAUAAUGGGUCAGCGACUUAUAUUCUGUAGCAAGGUUAACCGAAUAGGGGAGCCGAAGGGAAACCGAGUCUUAACUGGGCGUUAAGUUGCAGGGUAUAGACCCGAAACCCGGUGAUCUAGCCAUGGGCAGGUUGAAGGUUGGGUAACACUAACUGGAGGACCGAACCGACUAAUGUUGAAAAAUUAGCGGAUGACUUGUGGCUGGGGGUGAAAGGCCAAUCAAACCGGGAGAUAGCUGGUUCUCCCCGAAAGCUAUUUAGGUAGCGCCUCGUGAAUUCAUCUCCGGGGGUAGAGCACUGUUUCGGCAAGGGGGUCAUCCCGACUUACCAACCCGAUGCAAACUGCGAAUACCGGAGAAUGUUAUCACGGGAGACACACGGCGGGUGCUAACGUCCGUCGUGAAGAGGGAAACAACCCAGACCGCCAGCUAAGGUCCCAAAGUCAUGGUUAAGUGGGAAACGAUGUGGGAAGGCCCAGACAGCCAGGAUGUUGGCUUAGAAGCAGCCAUCAUUUAAAGAAAGCGUAAUAGCUCACUGGUCGAGUCGGCCUGCGCGGAAGAUGUAACGGGGCUAAACCAUGCACCGAAGCUGCGGCAGCGACGCUGAUGCGUUGUUGGGUAGGGGAGCGUUCUGUAAGCCUGCGAAGGUGUGCUGUGAGGCAUGCUGGAGGUAUCAGAAGUGCGAAUGCUGACAUAAGUAACGAUAAAGCGGGUGAAAAGCCCGCUCGCCGGAAGACCAAGGGUUCCUGUCCAACGUUAAUCGGGGCAGGGUGAGUCGACCCCUAAGGCGAGGCCGAAAGGCGUAGUCGAUGGGAAACAGGUUAAUAUUCCUGUACUUGGUGUUACUGCGAAGGGGGGACGGAGAAGGCUAUGUUGGCCGGGCGACGGUUGUCCCGGUUUAAGCGUGUAGGCUGGUUUUCCAGGCAAAUCCGGAAAAUCAAGGCUGAGGCGUGAUGACGAGGCACUACGGUGCUGAAGCAACAAAUGCCCUGCUUCCAGGAAAAGCCUCUAAGCAUCAGGUAACAUCAAAUCGUACCCCAAACCGACACAGGUGGUCAGGUAGAGAAUACCAAGGCGCUUGAGAGAACUCGGGUGAAGGAACUAGGCAAAAUGGUGCCGUAACUUCGGGAGAAGGCACGCUGAUAUGUAGGUGAAGUCCCUCGCGGAUGGAGCUGAAAUCAGUCGAAGAUACCAGCUGGCUGCAACUGUUUAUUAAAAACACAGCACUGUGCAAACACGAAAGUGGACGUAUACGGUGUGACGCCUGCCCGGUGCCGGAAGGUUAAUUGAUGGGGUCAGCGCAAGCGAAGCUCUUGAUCGAAGCCCCGGUAAACGGCGGCCGUAACUAUAACGGUCCUAAGGUAGCGAAAUUCCUUGUCGGGUAAGUUCCGACCUGCACGAAUGGCGUAAUGAUGGCCAGGCUGUCUCCACCCGAGACUCAGUGAAAUUGAACUCGCUGUGAAGAUGCAGUGUACCCGCGGCAAGACGGAAAGACCCCGUGAACCUUUACUAUAGCUUGACACUGAACAUUGAGCCUUGAUGUGUAGGAUAGGUGGGAGGCUUUGAAGUGUGGACGCCAGUCUGCAUGGAGCCGACCUUGAAAUACCACCCUUUAAUGUUUGAUGUUCUAACGUUGACCCGUAAUCCGGGUUGCGGACAGUGUCUGGUGGGUAGUUUGACUGGGGCGGUCUCCUCCUAAAGAGUAACGGAGGAGCACGAAGGUUGGCUAAUCCUGGUCGGACAUCAGGAGGUUAGUGCAAUGGCAUAAGCCAGCUUGACUGCGAGCGUGACGGCGCGAGCAGGUGCGAAAGCAGGUCAUAGUGAUCCGGUGGUUCUGAAUGGAAGGGCCAUCGCUCAACGGAUAAAAGGUACUCCGGGGAUAACAGGCUGAUACCGCCCAAGAGUUCAUAUCGACGGCGGUGUUUGGCACCUCGAUGUCGGCUCAUCACAUCCUGGGGCUGAAGUAGGUCCCAAGGGUAUGGCUGUUCGCCAUUUAAAGUGGUACGCGAGCUGGGUUUAGAACGUCGUGAGACAGUUCGGUCCCUAUCUGCCGUGGGCGCUGGAGAACUGAGGGGGGCUGCUCCUAGUACGAGAGGACCGGAGUGGACGCAUCACUGGUGUUCGGGUUGUCAUGCCAAUGGCACUGCCCGGUAGCUAAAUGCGGAAGAGAUAAGUGCUGAAAGCAUCUAAGCACGAAACUUGCCCCGAGAUGAGUUCUCCCUGACUCCUUGAGAGUCCUGAAGGAACGUUGAAGACGACGACGUUGAUAGGCCGGGUGUGUAAGCGCAGCGAUGCGUUGAGCUAACCGGUACUAAUGAACCGUGAGGCUUAACCUU
rnacentral:rRNA from 1 species